AUGAGCUGAAGCCAAAAACAAACUGUCGUGUUGUCCAGGUCCGAGCUCAUCGGGCAAUUGAUUGAUUGAUCGAUUGUCUGACAAGGAAGUUGAUGAGCGCCCCAUAUGAGCCAAAUGUUAACUUUUUGCACUGUUCUUGUCGUACUGAAAAUGCACUCCGAUUUUGAUGAAUUUUCUGUAUUGGGAAAAUUCACCAAACUAAAUAUGCCCUCGAAGCCAAAUUUGAACGUUCGAAGGUUCGGGGCAUGCUGAAAUACUAAAACCUAUACCUUAAGUAUUAAACCACACAAUUUAUCAUUUCUCUAUGAUGCUACACAGCAGGGCGCCCCCUAGUGUCAGUUAGACACCUUUUGACUCUCUUUUGGUUCUGCUUGUUGAUGGUGAUCAGUAUUAAAAGGUACCAAGUUCAUUGAUCUUGAACAGUAUUCACAGUCCCAAGAUGACAGAUGCUAAUUAACAAUAAUGGUACCAAGUCUGCGACAGAUGCUCCAAACACAGCACUCCCUGAUGAUGUGUCAGUAUUAUUGUGUUUUGCACAACAUCAUAAUGCACUUGUUUUUGUAACCAAAGUAUGCACAGCAGCUUGUCUGUCUACAAAAUUAAACAUCACUUUUCUGUCAAACUACAUACAAGCCUUUCUGCAACAACUCGUGACAGUAAUGAUUUGGACCUCAAACCAUUCAACUCAAGGAUAAUCUUGUCAACAUGGAGCUGUGCAUUUAAAUGAAGGUUCGAGGGGAAAGGUUAUUCAUGACAGCCUAAAAAAACACACCAUGAAUAAUUACGACCACCAACACACAAUACCUCCAUGUCGGUGUUGCGGUGCGGGUUAACCACGCGCCAUUUAUCCUGUGGGAAAACAACAAAAAAAAAGUUUGCGCAACCCCAGUACACUAUUGUAUCGACCUGGUUUGCACUCUGUGAGUAACAGACUGUGAAUAAUAAACCACAUCAUAAGAAACUUGGCCCAGCUCACCAAUUGCAGAAGGAAACAUUUAUUUUUACAAAUAGAAGCAUCCCAAUUGGACAAAAAGAGCACCAGAAUCUUAUCAAGUGGCACUUUCUUUGUCUCACUUUCCCAAGUUCCUAUUGGAUAUUCAAACAGAUGAUUAUUAUGGUUUGAAUUGUCAAAAGACAUUAAGCAUUAUCAAACCCAAAUUUUGAAGGUGAAUUGGAGCGAUUGGUUUUGUUUACCCUGAUCGUUUGUCAUCACUAACAAGUGGGCUGUGACAAAAUUUAUUGAGGUCGGCCAAGUUGACGUUUGGAAAUGAGAACAAAAGUGUAAACUAUACUUAUUAAUUUUUUGAUGUAAUUAUAUAGUGUGAACGUCCAUAACUGUAGAGAGUAUUUUUUUCCCAUGCCAUCAUGCUUAUAAAUCGUUUUUCUUGAAAAUAGUGUUAAAGUUAGAAUAAAUUGCAAACGUAAGAAAAAUACAUUUAGAAAGGGCACUCUAUUUAAAAAAAAUAAAAUAAAUCAUUCGCGCAUGUCUCAUAUAUUUAAUAACACAAAUCGUUUUUCUUAUUUAUUGAUGCCCCUACCCUUUCUGUAGCUGCCGUGUCAGUUACACUACUUGAGUUAACUUAGUUAUUUAUGUAUUUGAAUUAAAGAGUGAAUUAAAGUAAAUAAGAAUUUAUGUUAUUGAGAGAAAACAUUUUCGUUUUGUUAGUCCAUGUUUAUGUAACGGAAACUCGUUCACUUAUGUUGUCGGUGUCUCGACGCUUAUUUUGGGGCACUUCCUGUGCAAAUUAUUUCAGCUGGAAAGAUUCGGAGGGUGUUAAUUAGAAAGAGAGAAGCAAGAAGAAUGUUUGGUCAGAAAGGUCAAUGAGUGAACGUCCACUUGGGGAAGUCGCAUGCCCAGCCGAAGACGGAAAGGCGCGCGUCACAGCUGAGGCUGCUGGGAGGAUGAAGAUGAGAGGGAGGAGGAGUGGAGGAUGAAGAUGACAGCGGCAGAAGAGUACAAAUGUUGUGAUAUCUGACAGAGAAGCAGCAAGCCUCAAGUUAGUUAUGUCCAAACGAGUUGUAGGAGGGCGAGGAAAGGGGGAGAGAGCAGACACCAUGGCGACCGUUCAAGCUGUCAAUGAUGAACUGAGAGCUAAACUGAUAAACGUACAGUUAGAACUUCAGCAGGAGAAGAACAAGGUCAGUCGUCUGGAGAGAGAGAAGAGUCAGGAACUGAGGACGGAGCAUCACCGCGCCACCGUUGCCAUGACGGAACUGAAAAGCAAACUCCACGAGGAGAAGCAAAAGGAAUUAGCCUUUACCAGGGAGACGUUACUACGGCAGCACGAGAUGGAGUUGUUGAGGGUGAUCAAAAUCAAAGAUGGAGAGAUUCAACGAUUGAAUGGUUUGGUGCUAACCCUGCGCGAUGGGUCCAUGGAUAAGGUGAGGAGUGCUUUGCUGGCUGAGGUGGAUGAGACCCGGAAGAGCUGGGAAGCUGAGCGAUGUCGGUUCCAGCAGGAGCUUCAGGAGCAACGUGGAGCAAAGAGGAGCGCUGAAGAAGCUCUAGCAGUGGCGCACCAGGCCUGCCAAUCCCGAGUAGCUGAGCUGCGCUCAGCCCAUCACCAACACCAGGAGGAGCUUAGCAGAACCAAGAGGGAUUGUGAAAGGGAGAUCCGCCGACUGAUGGACGAGAUCAAACUGAAGGAUAGAGCAGUUAGUGUUUUGGAUAAAGCCCUGGGGCUACAGGCCGGCCAUGCCCAUCGACUUCAGCUGCAGACUCAGGCUGCUGAGCAGCAAAUUGCAGCGAUGAGGGAUGCACAAAGGGCGGGGCAAACCCACCCAGGAAACAUCACUAACACCAUUAUGAACAGUCCUCCUCAGAUUUCUCAGGAGGAUCGGGACACACGACGAUUUCAACUGAAAAUUGCUGAGCUCAGCGCAGUUAUCAGGAAACUGGAGGAUCGAAAUGCUCUGCUGUCUGAAGAACGCAAUGAACUGUUGAAGCGACUGAGAGAAACAGAGAGUCAGUUUCUUCCUCUUCUGGACAAAAACAAACGCCUGAGCAGGAAAAAUGAAGAGCUAUCGCUCAUGCUGUGCCGCCUAGAAAACAAACUGCGCUUUGUCACCCAGGAGAACAUGGAAAUGAGAAGGCCAAGUUCGCUCAAUGACCUGGACCGCAGCAACUCUGGUGGUUAUCACGGUUACAGCCAGGAGGACAGUGAAAUGGAAUUUCUGCGACUUCAAGUUCUGGAGCAGCAACACAUCAUUGACGAUUUAUCCAAGGCUCUGGAAACAGGAGGUUACGUCAAAAAUGUCAUCGAAAGAGAUUUGUUGUUACGAUACAGACGUCAAGAAUCAUUGAAGAGAAAACGAACUGUGAGAUCCUGCAGGGUUAUAGAAACGUUUUAUGGUUAUGAUGAAGACGUGUCAGUGGACUCAGAUGGCUCAUCCUUGUCUUUUCACACGGACAAAACCCCGGACACGGAACCUGAAGAGGUGUGUGUUCAUGAGGAGGCAGAGCUUCGCUAUCGCCAAUUGACACAAGAAUAUCAAGCUCUGCAGAGAGCCUAUGCUCUUCUAACUGAGACGAGUGGCGGGAACUAUGACGCUGAAAAGGAGAUCAAGGUGACGACCCCUUUCUGCAACCUCCAGGUUCGUGCUCAAAUUCCUCGUGAGCGGUUGAAUCUUUCUUUUCAGACCAGAGAACAACUGCUGGCAGAAAUCAGUCAAUGUCAAACCAGAGUAGCAGAUCUAGAGUCGGCGUUGAAACAACAAGGACGGGAUGUGAAGUGGGUGGAGGAGAAGCAUCUGUUGUAUCAGAGGAACCAGCAGUUGGUGGAAAAGGUGAGACAUAUGGAGGCAGAAGAAGUGCGUCUGAAAAACGACAUCCAGGAUGUCAGAGAUCAAAAUGAACUACUCGAGUUCCGAAUCUUAGAGCUGGAGGAAAGGGAGUGGCGCUCCCCUGGAAUGAAAUUCCAGCAGAUACAAUUCCCAGACAGUCUCAGCCCAUUGCAGGUCUAUUGUGAGGCAGAGGGCGUAGCUGACAUCGUGAUCAGUGACCUUAUGAAGAAGUUGGACAUCCUCGGCGAUAACGCCGUAAGUAAUCUGGCCAAUGAGGAGCAGGUGGUUGUGAUUCAUGCCAGGACUGUUCUCACCCUUGCUGAGAAGUGGUUGGAAUCCAUUGAAGUGACGAAGUCAGCACUGCAACAGAAGAUGUUGGACAUUGAAAGUGAGAAGGAUUUGUUCUGCAAGCAGAAGGGCUACCUAGAUGAAGAGCUCGACUUCAGGAAGCGCUCCAUGGAUCAGGCUCACAAGAGGAUCCUGGAGCUGGAGGCCAUGUUGUAUGAGGCACUACGACAACAGGAUGAGUCCAGAAUUGUUGGACAGAAGGACACUUGCGUGAAUGAUGUGCUGACACAAGACCAGAGGGAUGGGCUUCAGAGCGCAAUGAACCAAUGGAAACGAGCUGUGAUGUGUGAACUGAGGGAGCGAGAUGCUCAGAUCCUCCAAGAACGAAUGGAUCUGCUGCAAGCCACACAGCAGGUCAGGGCUGCAAACAACCUGCACAAUACUUUACUCCUCUUAACCCGUCACACAGUUUCAAAUUUCCAUCAUAGAGAAACAAAGAGUUGGAAGAAUUCAUCGAAGGCCAGAAACGACAAAUCAAAGAAUUAGAGGAGAAGUUUCUCUUUCUCUUCUUAUUCUUCUCUCUGGCCUUCAUCCUGUGGUCCUAACAUCAGCCGAGUCUGGCAUCCUGCAACUGAACACUCGGCCUAUCCGAAACCAGCUGACCUCAAUGUCCCACAAUGCCUAUGUGCUGAUUCCCAGUGCAGGUGAUGAUGGUUUCUACUGCCUUUGUUUCACAUGUUAAGAGUACUAUUUUACAUAUCAGCUGAAACAUGUAUCAUUUGAAAAGGUGCAAAUAAAGUGAGUGCGAAAAGCACACGCGUUU